rnacentral:rRNA from 1 species
AUUGAACGCUGGCGGCAUGCCUAACACAUGCAAGUCGAACGAAGGCUUCGGCCUUAGUGGCGCACGGGUGCGUAACGCGUGGGAACCUGCCCUUAGGUUCGGAAUAACAGUUAGAAAUGACUGCUAAUACCGGAUAAUGUCUUCGGACCAAAGAUUUAUCGCCUUUGGAUGGGCCCGCGUAAGAUUAGGUAGUUGGUGGGGUAAAGGCCUACCAAGCCGACGAUCUUUAGCUGGUCUGAGAGGAUGAUCAGCCACACUGGGACUGAGACACGGCCCAGACUCCUACGGGAGGCAGCAGUGGGGAAUAUUGGACAAUGGGGGAAACCCUGAUCCAGCAAUGCCGCGUGAGUGAUGAAGGCCUUAGGGUUGUAAAGCUCUUUUACCAGGGAUGAUAAUGACAGUACCUGGAGAAUAAGCUCCGGCUAACUCCGUGCCAGCCGCCGCCGUAAAAC